rnacentral:lncRNA from 1 species
GCCAGCCUCAGCAACAGUGAGGCCCUGUCUCUAAAUAAAAUACAAAAUUGGGCUGGGGAUGUGGCUCAGUGGUCGAGUACCUCUGAGCUCAAUCCCUAGUACCCCCCCUCCACAAAAAUGGGAACAUUAAAUCUUUCCUCUUCUACUCCCAACACGAGCAGCCAUCUGCUGGACAUUGGUAUAUGGGUAAGGUGACGUGCUUAAAAGGAAUGAGCUGCCCCAAGUCAGUCAGGAAAGGCCUCUUUUCCCCUUUGGUUCCCAGUUCUUGGUAGAAGCCCUUGGGUGGGGGAGCUCUUGGCCUCUGUCAUCUUCACAGGUCAUGAGGGGUGUCACCUUGUCCUCCCUUUCCCGUUCGGGGCUUUCCUUCCUGAAGUGCCCUUCCUUCAGAGCAGCUGUUUUCUCCUUUUCCCUUCUGAGGUCCUUUGGCCUGUGUCUCCUAGGGUAUCUUGAUUAAAGCCCUUUUUGUCCCCAAUUUUUUAGGGCCCACUUUUCUUUGGCUUACUUGUUCUCUGGUAGAGAGGACAAUUUGAGCCUUUUGUCUGUUUCUCUUCACUCUUCUUUACAUAUAGUUUUUGUGAUUCCCUCAAUAAUUAGUCUAGAUUUUAUCCUUCCAGUUUUCUAGUUUCUGGAAUUUUCUAGCAAUAUCAGGCCAGCCAUUAGUCACAAAGUGUAGUUUUAACAUUUUUGCCCUAAGGGGCCAUCAAUAUCUACUCCAGAAUAUCUCCUCAUCUGCUCCUAAAAUCUACCCAAAACUUCUGCUGGCGCUUCAUCUUUCCCUUGCUGAACAUCAAAGCCUUGGCUUUUCCCUUUACAGUUAAAUCUCUGUGAUCUCCUGUGGGCCCUGUGUAUUUCAUAAUUAUUACCCCAGCAGGGCCCUUGACGUGGGCAGGCAGAACCUGAUCUGGCUGCCGACACUGUUCUCCAGAUCAUUCCCUGUCCCGUCCAGAAAGUAAAAUACUCAAGAUGGACAUAAGCUUGGUCCAGGUGUAAAGCUGGGGGCCGUGGAAUUGGUCUAAGUGGUCUGUAGCCCCAUGGUGUGGGUCUUCUCACAGACCCUUUGGUUCCUGUUUUAAAUGUCUCACCUCUACAGUUAAGGCAGCAUUUACAAAUCGGAUUUCUCCACCCCUGAGGGAAACUUCCCCCUAAGGGUCCAGUGGACAGUACCAGGGAAAGAUGAGAUGCUGGUUCCACAUGACAGGAGGGGGUUCUGAGUGUCCUUUUAUCGUUGUUUCAACUCCUUCCUUAGCUUUCACAGCCAAGGAUACAGAAGGGUGGAGGCCCCUGGAUGGGCUCAGAUUCCUCCAGCUUUCAUUGUUGGAUGAUAUUGGCCUUGAGGAGCGCUCGGGUUUGAGCCAGAAUUUCAGCCACCAGGCUAGGGUGGUGGAAGAUUGGCUGGGGAUCCCACUUGUUUGGCUCCCCCUCUGGCUUUUAGGAAUCUUAAGGGGGAAAUGACCACAGGUCCUUUUCUUUAGGAGAAGGUAGAAUCUAUUUCCUCUGGUAGAACUAUUUUUUUUUAAUAUUUAUUUUUUAGUUGUAGUUGGACACAUGCCUUUAUUUAUAUAUGGUGCUGAGGAUCAAACCCAGGGCCUUGCCUUGCUAGGCUCUACCACUGAGCCACAGCCCCAGGCCUAGAACCAACAUUUUAACAUAAGGCCCAGAGAACUCUCUAGGGGAAUGUUGAUGUCUUUCCCCUGCCAGUGUUCUUUUUCUCUAGAAUAUAUUCUUUAUUCCCAUCAAGCUUUCCUGGGGCUGGCCUCCUGUCCCUGAAUAGAGUUUCGCCCUCCUGGCUACAGGCUCCCUGCACUCCUCCCCCAGAUAUCUGGCCAGAUGUCCCGACCACCAAGGAAGUACAUUUUUUCCUCCCUUAGUCUGCUGAUGGAUCUGGUCCCCACGGUGCUUGCUGGGCCCUUCCUGGUAUUGCUGAUCCACUUUUGCUUUGGGGUCUGGCCUCAGAGAUCCAGGUUUCCUCCCCCACCCUGGCCCCCUAGGCAAUGUAUGGAGCCCCACGUUACACCCCCAAAUUUGCUAGAAAUACCGGAUGCCAUGAGAAAUCACACAUACUUGGAAGUAGCUGGGCAGGGCAAAUUUUACUUCUGCAGAAGGGUGUGCUAGGAACAGAGACUGGCAAGCAGGCACACCUGGGUGGAAAAUCCCAGAUUUUAUCCCUAAGGGAAGCCCUGCCCCUUGUUCUGCUAGGGAUAUAAUCUAUAGGACUGUCUAAUUUAAAAUGGGGGGGGGCAAGGUGAGGUCUCUAGUUAAGGCAUUGUGACUGGAAGAUGGGGCAAAGGGAGAUCAUAUCUGUGGUCUGCGUUCCUGCCCACAUAUAGCAUAGCUGCGAGGUCUAGGCUGGGGAGCGCAAAGUGGUUACAGUUUAACCAUAUGGUUUGUGGCUUAAAAUGGCUCCACCUAACCACACAUUGUGAAGUUCUAAAUCACAGGAAUGGGAUUUUGUUACAGACUGAAAAACUCAGAUACAGGUUUAACUUCCACAGAAAAGAUCAUUAAUCUUACAGUUGAAACGGGGACCGAAUCCCAGUGGGGACAGGUGCCCUAUGCUAUCUUCCUUCCUUUAGUAGGCACAGAGCUGGGUCUUCUGGGCCCCGGGCUGGAGGGGCACUACCGAGCUCAGGACCCGGUCUGCAUACAGCUAAGGUCGGAGCCCCGAGGGAUCGGAGCCCCGAGGCCGCACAAGAGGGCGGUGCGAGGGUGACAGCAUCGGGCCUCUGGACUGAGCGCACAAGAGCCACCCAUUGCACAGAUGCGCAGGCUGAGGCACGCGGGGCCGCGGCUGGCACGACGCGGGGUGGGGACAUGGAGCCCCCAGCCAGAUGGGACUUUUAGAGCCAGGGUCUUCAGACAUCCUCCCUCAAGGGACUUCCUAGGGACAUGCCGGUGUGGAAUGGGGAGGGACUUAGGUCCUGAAAGGAAAGUGACCACAACACUCGAGCAACCAAGAGAUCUUUUUGCAGAAGUGCAACAGAGGAGAAAAGAGAGAGAGAGGAGAGCAUGCGCGCAAGGGAAACAAAGAGAUCAAGAGAGACAGCAAGAGAGAGAGGGGCCCAGCAGGAGGGAGUUUUUAUAGCCCAAAUCUAACGGGGCCUCUGGGUCUGCAAGCUGCCUUGUUGGCACAAGGGAGGGUUGAGUGUUCAGCCUUGAGUGGGGGUUGAAUGUUCAGCUUUGAUGCAAACAGGUGAUAAAGGACCAGACAGAGUGGGGUUUGAGUGCGUGGGCCAUCCUGCAGCUAACAUUUGUUCAGCCUGCCCUGCAGAUAACGUAGUUCAGCCUGUUCUGCACCCAACAGGUCAGAGUCCCCGGACCUUGGUACAUGCCCUGGUCUGCCAUCAGCGAGUGCGUUUGGCCGGUGCCUGGCUGCGCUCCCUGCGCCCAGCACCAGCUAAGCGCGGUCUCGCUGAGUUGCUUAAGGCCUCACUUAGUUGCAGAGGCUGGCUUUGAACUGCCAACCUCCUGCCUCAGCCUCCCGAGCCACUGGGACAGGUGUGCUCCACCGCGCCUGGCUAGCCCUGGGCUUUUUUCAUGCCUGUUUUACCCACAUGGAAAGAGGCUCUGCGGGGACCCAAUGGCUAAAUAAAGAAGAAGCCAGCAUUCAAAAAUCCGUGCCUUUAGGCUGGUACUUGUGGGAAUUCGAGUUCUUUAAACCCGUGUGCAAGGUCAAAACUGCUUCAAGCUCCUUAGAAGUAGCGCAGGG